rnacentral:rRNA from 1 species
CGAGACACCCUAUGGGCGAAUGAUUACCGGCGCUGCUGCCUUAAGUUGAUCCUGGCUCACCACGAACGCUGGCAGCGCGCCUAACACAUGCAAGUCGAACGAGAGAGAAGGAGCUUGCUUCUUCGAUCGAGUGGCGAACGGGUGAGUAACGCGUGAGGAACCUGCAUCAAAGAGGGGGACAACAGUUGGAAACGACUGCUAAUACCGCAUAAGCCCACGGGUCGGCAUCGACCAGAGGGAAAAGGAGUAAUCCGCUUUGAGAUGGCCUCGCGUCCGAUUAGCUAGUUGGUGAGGUAACGGCCCACCAAGGCGACGAUCGGUAGCCGGACUGAGAGGUUGAACGGCCACAUUGGGACUGAGACACGGCCCAGACUCCUACGGGAGGCAGCAGUGGGGAAUAUUGCACAAUGGGGGAAACCCUGAUGCAGCGACGCCGCGUGGAGGAAGAAGGUCUUCGGAUUGUAAACUCCUGUUGUUGAGGAAGAUAAUGACGGUACUCAACAAGGAAGUGACGGCUAACUACGUGCCAGCAGCCGCGGUAAAACGUAGGUCACAAGCGUUGUCCGGAAUUACUGGGUGUAAAGGGAGCGCAGGCGGGAAGACAAGUUGGAAGUGAAAUCCAUGGGCUCAACCCAUGAACUGCUUUCAAAACUGUUUUCUUGAGUAGUGCAGAGGUAGGCGGAAUUCCCGGUGUAGCGGUGGAAUGCGUAGAUAUCGGGAGGAACACCAGUGGCGAAGGCGGCCUACUGGGCACCAACUGACGCUGAGGCUCGAAAGUGUGGGUAGCAACAGGAUUAGAUACCCUGGUAGUCCACACCGUAAACGAUGAUUACUAGGUGUUGGAGGAUUGACCCCUUCAGUGCCGCAGUUAACACAAUAAGUAAUCCACCUGGGGAGUACGACCGCAAGGUUGAAACUCAAAGGAAUUGACGGGGGACCGCACAAGCAGUGGAGUAUGUGGUUUAAUUCGACGCAACGCGAAGAACCUUACCAAGUCUUGACAUCCUGCGACGAUGCUAGAAAUAGUAUUUUCCUUCGGGACGCAGAGACAGGUGGUGCAUGGUUGUCGUCAGCUCGUGUCGUGAGAUGUUGGGUUAAGUCCCGCAACGAGCGCAACCCUUAUGGUCAGUUACUACGCAAGAGGACUCUGGCCAGACUGCCGUUGACAAAACGGAGGAAGGUGGGGAUGACGUCAAAUCAUCAUGCCCUUUAUGACUUGGGCUACACACGUACUACAAUGGCGUUAAACAAAGAGAAGCAAGACCGCGAGGUGGAGCAAAACUCAGAAACAACGUCCCAGUUCGGACUGCAGGCUGCAACUCGCCUGCACGAAGUCGGAAUUGCUAGUAAUCGUGGAUCAGCAUGCCACGGUGAAUACGUUCCCGGGCCUUGUACACACCGCCCGUC